CAAUCAGCUGCAUGUCCCUUGCUCCUCUGGCUGCUGUUUUCCCUGUGGUUGGCGUACUUGUCAGAUAUUGACAAAUUUUACACUGCAUACUAGUUGACAGCGUGCAAUAGCCCGGCCGAUUCAUUCAUCUUUACACCACCUCACAAUCGACUCAACGGUCAGGUCCCCCCCCCCGCGAUCAGCCCUGAUCAGCGCGGGAUGGCGAGCCACCCAACCACCCCUGCAUUGCGUCUUAAGCAGGUGAAUGAACCAGAUGCUUGAUUCCCUCCCACAUCCUGAUGAGAAAAGCUGAAGAAGUCACGCCUGCAAUCAAAAGAUGGAGAUUACUACUCAAGUGUGUCCAAGAGUAAGGCACCUACAAAGCCGCACUUGCAAGCUGGAGUAGGAAAGAACAGACACACAAACAGUUUUCCUUCAUUUCCAUCCUUCAGCCAUGAGGCCGUCUUUGAACAACGCCGUCCUCCCGAAGUACGAUGGGAGCUUCAUGUCAGUCAUCUCCCUGUUGUGCCUGUAUAGAUGAACAUAUUCCACUCGGCUCAGAUGGUCGUUGGGGUCAGGACGAC